rnacentral:snRNA from 1 species
AUAUGUGAGGGUGGUUAGGCUAUGCCAUUUGUCAUCUACUGAUCUCCUGGGGUUGACUAAACUCAUGCCAUAGAUGGAUGUCUUCUUCUUCCCUUACACCUCCAGGGCAUCCUUCCAGGCCUGAGUCCAAGAGAACAGUCUUUCCUGAUAGAAGAGAGCUGGAUUUUGGCCAAGGACAUGCAAAUAGCAGUGUCCCCUAAUAUUCAACCAUUUACUCAUUAAUUCAACAUUUAUUAAGGGCCAAGUAUACGUUCAACAUGCACUAGGUACUGGGAGU